rnacentral:rRNA from 1 species
GUGUCAGCAGCCGCGGUAAUACGAACUGUGCGAACGUUAUUCGGAAUCACUGGGCUUAAAGGGUGCGUAGGCGGUUCGCCAAGUCAGGUGUGAAAUCCCCCGGCUCAACCGGGGAAUAGCGCUUGAAACUAGCGGGCUGGAGUGGGGCAGGGGUGUGUGGAACUUCCGGUGGAGCGGUGAAAUGUGUAGAUAUCGGAAGGAACGCCGGUGGCGAAAGCGGCACACUGGGCCUUGUCUGACGCUGAGGCACGAAAGCUAGGGGAGUGAACGGGAUUAGAUACCCCGGUAAUCCUAGCCGUAAACACUGAGCACUGGAGGGGAGGGGCCUCGUGCCUUUUCCCUCGCAGCGAAAGCAUUAAGUGCUCCGCCUGGGGAGUAUGGUCGCAAGGCUGAA